GUCAAUUUAUCAAUAACGGAUUUUUGACAUUUCAGCAGUUAGAAAUUAAAUGCAAAUAAGCCGCACAACCAAAAGUAUAAUUAAACAUAGAAAGUGGUUAGACGUAUUAAUCUCACGCAUGGUACGUGUAUACUUGGUAAUCUUCGACGGACCCUGCGGUAUAAUUGUAUUCAACUCGCGCGGUGGCAUAUUUUGACUACGAUGCCGUCUGAUUGUUGGGAGACGUGUUACGAAGGAGGCAUUGUGCUUAAAGCUAGAUGAAGCUCGUCUAAAUUGAUAGAAAAACAUACAUACAUACAUACAUAAUACAUACAAGGAUAAUAUAAAGUAGAUAGAAUUAAAGAUGGAACGAACUAAAUACAAAUACGUUUACAUAUAUAUAUAUGUGAGUGUUAGUAACAUUGACACUGUUUCAAAGACUAGACUAGUGAUUAUAAAAAAAUUUAUAUAGCUACAAUCAGCUACGUUUUUGAGGUUAUGUACUUCUGCAUUCUUAUGUGGGGUGUUUCGUUUGUUAAAGGAACGACAUUAGCCGCACACACUUACACAUGUAUUUCUAUGUAAUUUGAUUUUUUUAAUAUAUUAUAUUCUCUAUAAAACUAGCUACACAUGAGAUCUAUUGCGGUAUAGCGCGUGUUCAUUUACAUAUGUAUGUGUGUAUUUAUAAAUGGGUACAAAUGGGAUCUUCACCAAUUUAUUUUGUAAAAAAAUACUGUUCUAUGGCACUUAUGUGUGUAUGUACGAGUAUGUGUUGUU